rnacentral:rRNA from 1 species
CCUACGGGGCGCAGCAGUCGAGAAUCAUUCACAAUGGGGGAAACCCUGAUGGUGCGACGCCGCGUGGGGGAAUGAAGGUCUUCGGAUUGUAAACCCCUGCCAUGUGGGAGCAAAUUAACAAGAUAGUACCACAAGAGGAAGAGACGGCUAACUCUGUGCCAGCAGCCGCGGUAAUACAGAGGUCUCAAGCGUUGUUCGGAAUCACUGGGCGUAAGGCGUGCGUAGGCUGUUUCGUAAGUCGUGUGUGAAAGGCGCGGGCUCAACCCGCGGACGGCACAUGAUACUGCGAGACUAGAGUAAUGGAGGGGGAACCGGAAUUCUCGGUGUAGCAGUGAAAUGCGUAGAUAUCGAGAGGAACACUCGUGGCGAAGGCGGGUUCCUGGACAGUAACUGACGCUGAGGCACGAAGGCCAGGGGAGCGAAAGGGAUUAGAUACCCUGGUAGUC